rnacentral:tRNA from 1 species
GGGCGAUUAGCUCAGUUGGCUAGAGCGACUCGUUUACACCGAGUAGGUCACAGGUUCGAGUCCUGUAUCGCCCA